UACGAAGGGGGCUAGCGUUGCUCGGAAUCACUGGGCGUAAAGAGUGCGUAGGCGGGUCUUUUAAGUCAGGGGUGAAAUCCUGGAGCUCAACUCCAGAACUGCCUUUGAUACUGAGGAUCUUGAGUUCGGGAGAGGUGAGUGGAACUGCGAGUGUAGAGGUGAAAUUCGUAGAUAUUCGCAAGAACACCAGUGGCGAAGGCGGCUCACUGGCCCGAUACUGACGCUGAGGCACGAAAGCGUGGGGAGCAAACAGGG
rnacentral:rRNA from 1 species